rnacentral:rRNA from 1 species
GGGGCAUAACACUGAGAAAUUGGUACUAAUUCCCCAUAAUAUUCGGAGAGGCAUCUCUCCGGGUUGAAAACUCCGGUGGUUAUAGAUGGACAUGCGUUGUAUUAGCUAGUUGGUGAGGUAACGGCUCACCAAGGCAACGAUACAUAGGGGGACUGAGAGGUUAACCCCCCACACUGGUACUGAGACACGGACCAGACUCCUACGGGAGGCAGCAGUGAGGAAUAUUGGUCAAUGGACGCAAGUCUGAACCAGCCAUGCCGCGUGCAGGAAGACGGCUCUAUGAGUUGUAAACUGCUUUUGUACGAGGGUAAACUCACCUACGUGUAGGUGACUGAAAGUAUCGUACGAAUAAGGAUCGGCUAACUCCGUGCCAGCAGCCGCGGUAAUACGGAGGAUUCAAGCGUUAUCCGGAUUUAUUGGGUUUAAAGGGUGCGUAGGCGGUUUGAUAAGUUAGAGGUGAAAUCCCGGGGCUUAACUCCGGAACUGCCUCUAAUACUGUUAGACUAGAGAGUAGUUGCGGUAGGCGGAAUGUAUGGUGUAGCGGUGAAAUGCUUAGAGAUCAUACAGAACACCGAUUGCGAAGGCAGCUUACCAAACUAUAUCUGACGUUGAGGC